AACGAACGCUGGCGGCAGGCUUAACACAUGCAAGUCGAACGAACCCUUCGGGGUGAGUGGCAGACGGGUGCGUAACGCGUGGGAACCUACCUUGGGGUACGGAAUAACAGUUAGAAAUGACUGCUAAUACCGUAUACGUCCUCCGGGAGAAAGAUUUAUCGCCCUAAGAUGGGCCCGCGUUAGAUUAGCUAGUUGGUGAGGUAAAAGCUUACCAAGGCUACGAUCUAUAGCUGGUUUGAGAGGAUGAUCAGCCACACUGGAACUGAGACACGGUCCAGACUCCUACGGGAGGCAGCAGUGGGGAAUAUUGGACAAUGGGCGAAAGCCUGAUCCAGCCAUGCCGCGUGAGUGAUGAAGGCCUUAGGGUUGUAAAGCUCUUUCGCAGGUGAAGAUAAUGACGGUAACCUGUAAAGAAGUCCCGGCUAAUUUCG
rnacentral:rRNA from 1 species